GGAGGGGGCGGCUAUCAUGCAAGUCGAGCGGAUGGAUUAAGAGCUUGCUCUUAUGAAGUUAGCGGCGGACGGGUGAGUAACACGUGGGUAACCUGCCCAUAAGACUGGGAUAACUCCGGGAAACCGGGGCUAAUACCGGAUAACAUUUUGAACCGCAUGGUUCGAAAUUGAAAGGCGGCUUCGGCUGUCACUUAUGGAUGGACCCGCGUCGCAUUAGCUAGUUGGUGAGGUAACGGCUCACCAAGGCAACGAUGCGUAGCCGACCUGAGAGGGUGAUCGGCCACACUGGGACUGAGACACGGCCCAGACUCCUACGGGAGGCAGCAGUAGGGAAUCUUCCGCAAUGGACGAAAGUCUGACGGAGCAACGCCGCGUGAGUGAUGAAGGCUUUCGGGUCGUAAAACUCUGUUGUUAGGGAAGAACAAGUGCUAGUGGAAUGAGCUGGCACCUUGACGGUACCUAACCAGAAAGCCACGGCUAACUACGUGCCAGCAGCCGCGGUAAUACGUAGGUGGCAAGCGUUAUCCGGAAUUAUUGGGCGUAAAGCGCGCGCAGGUGGUUUCUUAAGUCUGAUGUGAAAGCCCACGGCUCAACCGUGGAGGGUCAUUGCAAACUGGGAGACUUUGA
rnacentral:rRNA from 1 species